CAGUCGCCGCGGGAAUACGAAGGGGGCUAGCGUUGUUCGGAAUUACUGGGCGUAAAGCGCACGUAGGCGGAUUUUUAAGUCAGGGGUGAAAUCCCGAGGCUCAACCUCGGAACUGCCUUUGAUACUGGAGAUCUUGAGUUCGGAAGAGGUUGGUGGAACAGCUAGUGUAGAGGUGAAAUUCGUAGAUAUUAGCUAGAACACCAGUGGCGAAGGCGGCCAACUGGUCCGAUACUGACGCUGAGGUGCGAAAGCGUGGGGAGCAAACAGGAUUAGAGACCCCCGUAGUCCCUGUCUCUUAUAC
rnacentral:rRNA from 1 species